UACGGAGGGUGCAAGCGUUGUCCGGAUUUAUUGGGUUUAAAGGGUGCGUAGGCGGCUAUUUAAGUCAGUGGUGAAAUCCAGCAGCUUAACUGUUGAACUGCCAUUGAUACUGGAUGGCUUGAGUACAGACGAGGUAGGCGGAAUUUAUGGUGUAGCGGUGAAAUGCGUAGAUAUCUGGAGGAACACCGGUGGCGAAGGCGGCGUUCUGGACUGCAACUGACACUGAGGAACGAAAGCCAGGGGAGCAAACGGG
rnacentral:rRNA from 1 species